CAUGACACCGCGGGCAGGUGGGCGGCUCUGGCGGCUGUUUCUGGCCCAACCCCCAAGCUCACAGCCCAGUUCUCACCAGCAUGGAUCACAGACAGUGCCUUGAACCUUUCUUGCUAGCAGCCCACCGGUCCUACCUGAAGUCUGACUUUAGAUCCCCAUUCUACAAUACAAACUCAAAGCCCCUGGGCCUCUUGAGAGAGGGGGAAAUCAUCUGUCAAGACACAAAGGGAAGUUGCUCUCAUACUGCCAAGCCCCAGACCAUCCCAUAGAACUGGACCUGACUUCACAUCACAGCUCCAGGGACCAACAGCUCCAAGUAUCUUUGGUUAAGACUGCAGGUCACUUGAAGUUGAGGAUCAGCUUGAGUGUCAAGUACAGUCUGUGGAAUAGUGUCAGCGUAACACAGACACUGGCAGAGUGACUGCAUGCCCCGGGGGAGGCACAUGGGACGGAACAAGGACUGUUGGGAAACUAACGCCAGCCUUGGCUGAGCCAGGAAUGGUGGCUCAUACCUGUGAUCUCGACACUCAGCAGGCUGAGACAGGAAGAUUGCUGUGACUCUGAGGCCAUCGUGGGCUUCCUACUGAGUUCUGUGUCAUCCUGAACUACAAAGUGAGACUCUAUCUCAAAACACAAAAAACAAGUGAGUGAUAUGCAGGGGUUUAUGGUUGCAAGUUGGCAUCAGGCCAUUGCUACCAUAUACUGGGAUAGUUGAUAUACACUGUUCACAUAUGUGUGCAUAUUAACAUUUAUGGGCAUGUCUGCCUAUACAUACCUAGAGAUUUGUUGUCAGAUGUUGCUCAAAUUUCUAAAGGUCUUAUAGUAAAAAUCCCAGUGCCAGAUACUGGAGUAAAUGCUGAAAGAUCAGAGAGACAAAGGAACAAGGCACAGCCACCUCUUACCUCUAGGGCUCCUCAGCCUGAAAAGCCUCUGGUUCCUGUCUCCUCACGCCUUAUAUACCUUUCUCCGCCCAGCCCUCACUUCCUGGGAUUAAAGGCAUAUGUGCUUCCCAAGCAAAGGCAUGAGAUCUCAAGUGCUGGGAUUAAAGGCGUGAGAUUUCCAAGUACUAGGAUUAAAGGUGCAUGCCACCACUGCUUGGCUCUGUUUCUCUCCUAGACUGAGUCAACCUCAUGUAGUCCAGGGUGGCUUUGAGCUCACAGAGAUCCAGACAGAUCUCUGUCUCCCAAGUUCUAGGAUUAAAGGUGUGUGCCACCACUGCCUGGCCUCUGUGUUUAAUCUAGUGGCCUGUUCUGUCCUCUGAUCUUCAGGCAAGCUUUAUUAGGGUGCACAAUAUAUCACCACAGUUAUAUGCAUAUUAGCAAGCACACUUACGUUAAAUGUGCAUAUAGUACCAUAGAUAAGCAAUACACGCAUUGCCACAUGACCCAUAUGGGCACACGUAUGUACACACAUAUAUACAAACACAUACUGGGUCUCCUUAAUAUCCCCUGCCUGCUUCCUCUAUUCACACCCAACUUGCUCUUAAUUCAUGAAACCUCUGGAGCAGUGUUGAUGUUUCUCCUCUCGCACUUCCCCACGUACACUCCUAAACAUCAAGCAUAUGGUCAACAUCAGGAUCAGAUCUCUUUCACAGCUGUCUUCAAGAUUCCCCUCUGCAAAAUGCCUCCAUAUGAAGGGUGAUAGGAACUAGAUGGCUUCCUAGGACGUGAGAAUUUGAGAGACCUGCUUUCUGGAGAAGAGCCACAGACAUCGGAGUGGACCAAGUUCAAGCUAGCGGGAAAAUAACUUUUGGACAGAGCCAAUGUUGAGUCAAAUUCAAUAGCUAUAUCCCUCUCUCUAUGAAUCAACUUUAUGCACAUUUAUUCUUAUGCUCCUAAAUCAUUAAGUAC